CCACCAAGCUUGUUGUUGUGGUACUUUAAGAGGCUAACAAGAAGGGUAAAGGAACUCUCCAUAAAACUCAGAGAUCGUACACCACACCACCUCUUUGGAUCCUGUCUGGAGUCACAGAU